UACGUAGGGUGCAAGCGUUGUCCGGAAUUAUUGGGCGUAAAGAGCUCGUAGGCGGUUCGUCGCGUCGGCUGUGAAAACCCGGAGCUCAACUCCGGGCCUGCAGUCGAUACGGGCGGACUUGAGUGUUGCAGGGGAGACUGGAAUUCCUGGUGUAGCGGUGAAAUGCGCAGAUAUCAGGAGGAACACCGGUGGCGAAGGCGGCGACCUGGGUCGACACUGACGCUGAGGCGCGAAAGCGUGGGGAGCAAACAGG
rnacentral:rRNA from 1 species